rnacentral:rRNA from 1 species
CCUACGGGAGGCAGCAGUGAGGAAUAUUGGUCAAUGGCCGUAAGGCUGAACCAGCCAAGCCGCGUGAAGGAAGAAGGCCCUAUGGUUUGUAAACCUCUUUUAUAGGGGAAUAAAGGUAGCCACGAGUGAAUAUUUGCAUGUACCCGAUGAAUAAGCAUCGACUAACUCCGUGCCAUCAGCCGCGGUAAUACGGAGGAUGCGAGCGUUAUCCGGAUUUCUUGGGGUUAAAGGGUGGGGAGGUCGUUUCUCAAGUCAGCGGUGAAAGUUUGUGGCUCAACCCUAAGAUCGCCGUUGAAACUGGAUGUCUUGAGUGGGCUUGAGGUACGCGGAAUGCGCGGUGUAGCGGUGAAAUGCAUAGAUAUCGCGCAGAACUCCGAUUGCGAAGGCAGCUUACCAGGUCAAAACUGACACUGAGGCACGAAAGCGUGGGUAUCGAACAGGAUUAGAUACCCGUGUAGUC